AGCGAACGUUAGCGGCGGGCCUAACACAUGCAAGUCGCACGAGAAUAGGGGGGCAACUCCCUUAGUAAAGUGGCGGACGGGUGCGUAACACGUGGGUAAUUUACCUGUUGGCGGGGGACAACCUUCCGAAAGGAGGGCUAAUACCGCGUACGUCGGCGAGGGCUCCGGUCCUUGCCGGGAAAGGGGGCCUCUUCUUGAAAGCUACCACCGACAGGUGAACCCGCGGCCCAUCAGCUAGUUGGUGAGGUAACGGCUCACCAAGGCUAAGACGGGUAGCUGGUCUGAGAGGAUGAUCAGCCACACUGGGACUGCGACACGGCCCAGACUCCUACGGGAGGCAGCAGUGGGGAAUAUUGGGCAAUGGGAGAAAGCCUGACCCAGCCACGCCGCGUGAGUGAUGAAGGCCUUCGGGUCGUAAAGCUCUGUGGGGAGGGACGAACAAGCCUUGGGCUAAUCACCAGGGCCCUGACGGUACCUCCUUAGCAAGCACCGGCUAACCCUGUACCAGCAGCCGCAGUAAAAC
rnacentral:rRNA from 1 species